CAUCCCAGGGAUGCAAGGUGG
rnacentral:misc_RNA from 1 species